rnacentral:misc_RNA from 1 species
AACGAGGCCGACCUGCGGCUGAGUUACCUGCGGAAGGAUCAUUACAGAGUUCAUGCCCUCACGGGUAGAUCUCCCACCCUUGAAUACUAUACCUUUGUUGCUUUGGCGGGCCGCUUUGGCUACUGGCUCUGGCUAGUAAGUGCCCGCCAAAGAACCCCAAAACUCUGAAUAUUAGUGUCGUCUGAGUACUAUAUAAUAGUUAAAACUUUCAGCAAUGGAUCUCAGAUCGGAAGAGCACAC